rnacentral:tRNA from 1 species
GAGGGUGUAGCUCAGUGGUAGAGUGUGUGCUUAGCAUGCACAAGGUGCUGGGUUCAAUCCCCAGUGCCUCUG